rnacentral:rRNA from 1 species
AUUGAACGCUGGCGGAAUGCUUUACACAUGCAAGUCGAACGGCAGCACGGACUUCGGUCUGGUGGCGAGUGGCGAACGGGUGAGUAAUGUAUCGGAAUGUGCCCAGUCGUGGGGGAUAACGUAGUGAAAAUUACGCUAAUACCGCAUACGAUCUAUGGAUGAAAGCGGGGGAUCGCAAGACCUCGCGCGAUUGGAGCGGCCGAUAUCAGAUUAGGUAGUUGGUGGGGUAAAGGCCCACCAAGCCAACGAUCUGUAGCUGGUCUGAGAGGACGACCAGACACACUGGAACUGAGACACGGUCCAGGCUCCUACGGGAGGCAGCAGUGGGGAAUUUUGGACAAUGGGCGAAAGCCUGAUCCAGCCAUUCCGCGUGCAGGAUGAAGGCCCUCGGGUUGUAAACUGCUUUUGUACAGAACGAAAAGGUUUCUACUAAUACUAGGAGCUCAUGACGGUACUGUAAGAAUAAGCACCGGCUAACUACGUGCCAGCCGCCGCGGUAA